rnacentral:rRNA from 1 species
GACGAACGCUGGCGGCGUGCUUAACACAUGCAAGUCGAACGGAAAGGCCCUGCUUUUGUGGGGUGCUCGAGUGGCGAACGGGUGAGUAACACGUGAGUAACCUGCCCUUGACUUUGGGAUAACUUCAGGAAACUGGGGCUAAUACCGGAUAGGAGCUCCUGCUGCAUGGUGGGGGUUGGAAAGUUUCGGCGGGUGGGGAUGGACUCGCGGCUUAUCAGCUUGUUGGUGGGGUAGUGGCUUACCAAGGCUUUGACGGGUAGCCGGCCUGAGAGGGUGACCGGCGACAUUGGGACUGAGAUACGGCGCAGACUCCUACGUGAGGCAGCAGUGGGGAAUAUUGCACAAUGGGCGGAAGCCUGAUGCAGCAACGCUGCGUGCGGGAUGACGGCCUUCGGGUUGUAAACCGCUUUCGCCUGUGACGAAGCGUGAGUGACGGUAAUGGGUAAAGAAGCACCGGCUAACUACGUG